GCCCUUUUCAUCUAGUGGCCAAGGAUUCUACUUUUUCAUAGUAGUUACAUGGGUUCAAAUCCCAUAAAGGGUA
rnacentral:tRNA from 1 species